GACGAACGCUGGCGGCGUGCUUAACACAUGCAAGUCGAACGGAAAGGCCCUGCUUUUGUGGGGUGCUCGAGUGGCGAACGGGUGAGUAACACGUGAGUAACCUGCCCUUGACUUUGGGAUAACUUCAGGAAACUGGGGCUCAUACCGGAUAGGAGCUCCUGCUGCAUGGUGGGGGAUGGAAAGUUUCGGCGGUUGGGGAUGGACUCGCGGCUUAUCAGCUUGUUGGUGGGGUAGUGGCUUACCAAGGCUUUGACGGGUAGCCGGCCUGAGAGGGUGACCGGCCACAAUGGGACUGAGAUACGGCCCAGACGCCUACGGGAGGCAGCAGUGGGGAAUAUUGCACAAUGGGCGGAAGCCUGAUGCAGCAACGCCGCGUGCGGGAUGACGGCCUUCGGGUUGUAAACCGCUGUCGCCUGUGACGAAGCGUGAGUGACGGUAAUGGGUAAAGAAGCACCGGCUAACUACGUG
rnacentral:rRNA from 1 species